GCUUUGCUGACGAGUGGCGGACGGGUGAGUAAUGUCUGGGAAACUGCCUGAUGGAGGGGGAUAACUACUGGAAACGGUGGCUAAUACCGCAUAACGUCGCAAGACCAAAGAGGGGGACCUUCGGGCCUCUUGCCAUCAGAUGUGCCCAGAUGGGAUUAGCUUGUUGGUGAGGUAACGGCUCACCAAGGCGACGAUCCCUAGCUGGUCUGAGAGGAUGACCAGCCACACUGGAACUGAGACACGGUCCAGACUCCUACGGGAGGCAGCAGUGGGGAAUAUUGCACAAUGGGCGCAAGCCUGAUGCAGCCAUGCCGCGUGUAUGAAGAAGGCCUUCGGGUUGUAAAGUACUUUCAGCGGGGAGG
rnacentral:rRNA from 3 species